GAUGAACGCUGACAGAAUGCUUAACACAUGCAAGUCUACUUGAACUUCGGUUUGGGUGGCGGACGGGUGAGUAACGCGUAAAGAACUUGCCUCACAGUUAGGGACAACAUUUGGAAACGAAUGCUAAUACCUGAUAUUAUGAUUUUAGGGCAUCCUAAGAUUAUGAAAGUUAUAUGCGCUGUGAGAGAGCUCUGCGUCCCAUUAGCUAGUUGGAGAGGUAACGGCUCACCAAGGCGAUGAUGGGUAGCCGGCCUGAGAGGGUGAACGGCCACAAGGGGACUGAGACACGGCCCUUACUCCUACGGGAGGCAGCAGUGGGGAAUAUUGGACAAUGGACCAAAAGUCUGAUCCAGCAAUUCUGUGUGCACGAUGACGUUUUUCGGAAUGUAAAGUGCUUUCAGUUGGGAAGAAAAAAAUGACGGUACCAACAGAAGAAGUGACGGCUAA
rnacentral:rRNA from 1 species